AACGCAGACUCGGUAAAGACUCGGAUCACUUGCAGGCAAAACUAAUCCACCCCCCCCCCUUUUUUUUAAUAAAAGAAAGAAAAGAAAAUCAUUAAUUAGGUUCAGAUCUAAAAUGCUGCUUUGAAAACGCACGCACAUGUUGAAGACUCUGGGACUGUAAUUUCUUGGGUAAACAUCUGGUGAAGACAUUCCAGGAACACAUCUGAAAGGAAGAAAGGCGUCCCGGAUCCCCCACUCCAGGCCCUGAGAAGGCUUCGGGCGACGGCAGGUGGACGGAUCCAGCAAGCGGGAGGCGCAAGAACUGCGCAACAAGGUCACGACCGCGAGGCUGCAGACCCGGGCUGCGGCGCGCGCGGGACCGGGCGCCGCCCUCUGGCCCCGGAGCUGACCCAGCCGCCGAGCCGGUCUUCGCCACUGGCCUGGCACGACCCGAGGGGAAUGAAGGGGCGACCCCGCAGAAACAACCCUUGCUUUAAAGGUGGAAGCUGAAACCUGCGGGGCUCCCUGGCAAGCUGUCCUGGAAGAUCAGCCGCACGGUACUACUGAACUUGAGAAGGGGCUCUCAGCUCUGCCCACCCCUCUUCCUGUGGCGACCUGCGGGAGACUUUUAUCUGCUCCCCUCUGUGUCUUCGUGCCCCUGGGAACUUGGCCCAGUCGGCCUAGUUCUCCAUAUAAAUUAGUGGUUCCAUCAAUUCAGCACCCUCUUCUCAGGCGGACUUCCAGGGUGUCUUGUAAGACAUUACUAGACAUUGAAAAAGCUCGAUGCUUUUUUUUUUUCUUCUUCUUUCUGAGGGAGUUUUGUGUGAAAGUAAAAUCUUCUAGGCGUUAAAAACCAAAUCAAACCACAAAGCCAAAAAACAAAACAUGCUGCCUUCACGUGAGUGGAUUGUGAAGUCAAUCCAAGCCUUCCUUGGGCCAGCCUUUGCUCAGAUAGUCGGGUUCCUGAAUCUUCCAGGAAAAUAGAGCCCCUUCAGACACUUGGGGGGGGGGGUAAUAAGACUACAAUAUAUUUCCAUGCUUAAAACAUUUCUUUGCAGAAGCAAGAUUUCCUAAAAGUGGUCUGCCAGUGAUGCAUGGAAAAGCAAACCAGCUUACAGAGAGGGGCCUCUGAAGAGGAAGGGGGAGAGGCAGGACCCAGCCCCAAUUACAAACCGCAGUUUCCAACUGUUGAACCACAGCACUGCUACAGUGGGACUGGUGGGAUGUCCUGACUGACCCUGGAGCUGACAGGUUGCAGACCUCUGGGGCUCUUUUUCACGGUUUGCUGGAAGUGCUGGACUUCUCAGGGUAGCCCUUCCCAACCGCAGAGUUAAGCCCCCCUUUUGUGUUUUGUGGGCAUAUGUUUGGACCCUGCAUCAAGCCUUGCUCCUCACACACUUCAGGUGGAUAAGCUGUUGUUCUUCAGCUGACCAUGCGUGCACCCAGGGUGGGAAUGUGGGUGCCAUCACAGACGAAGGUGUGUGUUUGUGCCAGUUUGUUGUCUGACACCCCACCCCUCGUCCCUGCCAGCCCCACCGCUAAGAAAUGGACUUUAACACAGCGCUCCAGAAACUCUCCUAGGAGUUUCUUCCUGGGAGAAGACACCACUGAAAUUCUUUUGCAACCAAGGUUUAUGUGUUUUGUCUAAAGAACUCAAGAGAAGAGUUGCAAAGAUUGCGAGCUGUGCAAUGUCUCAGGUCAAGAGAACUUACUCAGGUCCUAGACACUCAAAACUCUGAAGGGGAAAUCACCAAGAGUAUUUUGCUCAGAAAGUACAGCUUUCCAGCUUCAUGAGAAUAAGGACUGCUUUCUGUACACCUCAAAUCAUUCAAACAACACAACAAGUCUCAACUGCCCCCUUUCACAAACAAAACACACACCCUCAAGUAUUUCUGGUCCUCUUGUGGUUACCAAACUAUUUUGUAGCACAUUAAUGGUGAUCCCCACUUUUGCAAAGUUUCUUGCUCUUUACCCUGAUAAGUUGCACUUGUUCUGGGUAGAACACAACCUUGCCUUUGAGCCCUUGACCAUGCUUUCAACCAUUUUAAAGGUUACAUUUUAGUCUUAAGGGAUAAAAAUGUUCCUUUCAUCCUGUACACAGAGUGCCAGGGCCCAAAGUGGGCAAGUCUGUAGGAAACCCAAUCUCUUGGCUUUGCUAAGAUCAGAUGGACAGUUUCAACAUGCCAGUUCUUGUCUGCUAAAACGCCAGGGCAAGGUACUCAGGCCACUGCGGACAGACGGAUCAUCUGUUUCUCUGACUCUAGCGCUGGGCAGGCUGAGCACAUCUGCCAAUUUUAAGGAAGAGAAAUCGGCUCAGGCCAGAAAGAGCAGGAGAACCCCUUUUUCCAUUAGGGCAACUUCAUUAAGCAAGAGCUAGAUCUUCACAAAAGGGGACACAUUUUGCUUAAGCCUGUUCUUUCUUGGGAAGCAUGGAGAGACCAGGCCCACCAAUAUCCUCAGUAAAAACUACCAGAAAUGUGCAGUGCUCUAGGAUGUCGGCUUGGGAGUCAUUGAAGGCCAGACUGUUACAGUUAAUCUCGCCUCUUUUAGUUUCCAUUGCUCUCUUUCUCCUUUGGUCUCUUUCCUUCUUGGUGUUCCCUACCUCCUGUAGUUAUGAGUUAAUAAAAACAUGUCCCUAUUUUUAAAAAGAUCCAUAAAGUUGAUGCUAAAUUUGAGAGUUAAUGUUGCAACUAAACUCUCCUGGAGCCACAUCUUUUCUGUCUGUAAUGCCAGCAACCAUUUGUCCUUAAAAACUUACUAUAAUGAUUCUUUCAAGGCCUUUGAGAAAAUGUAAUAAACAACUAAUUGGAAAAAAAA
rnacentral:lncRNA from 1 species